rnacentral:rRNA from 1 species
CACGCUGUAAACGAUGGGUACUAGGUGUGGGAGGUAUCGACUCCUUCCGUGCCGCAGUUAACACAAUAAGUACCCCGCCUGGGGAGUACGAUCGCAAGAUUAAAACUCAAAGGAAUUGACGGGGGCCCGCACAAGCAGCGGAGCAUGUGGUUUAAUUCGAAGCAACGCGAAGAACCUUACCUAGACUUGACAUCCCCUGCAUAGUAUGGAAACAUAUGAAGUCCUUCGGGACAGGGAGACAGGUGG